rnacentral:lncRNA from 1 species
UGCAUCCUCAGAAUAACAAACAUUCAUUUCCGCGGAUCGGGUUUCCUAAUUACUGUUUUCCAUGCUGGCUCAGAAAUAGCAGUUGCCACACAGCAUACGAGUUCUUCAUUCUUUUUCUUGACUGAGUCAUUUUGGGCCAGUGACGACUUGGCUCAGACUCAGUAGAAGGAGAAGUUUUUAAUACUGCCAUUGGUUCCACUGUGGGAUG